GUGGAGGUAACGCUUUGAAAAUCUGCCCCAUUCACUGAUUGCUCUGCUCCCCAGGGAUGAGGAGGCUGGGCUCCCUCCCGCGGAGACACAGGCUGGGGUUCUCCCCCCAUAUCCCCCUACCGCUGCAUGAAGGAGGCCGUGCUGGGCGGUGUUCGAUGAUGUCUGGAGGGAGCUGGUGGGCUGCAUGGAAGAGCUCAUCCGCGGGCACUGGGAGCGACCCAUCUCUGACCCACAGCGAGCGAUCGGUUGUCUUCCCCGCUGAUGCCCCUGAGCCGAAACAAUCGCCUGCCCCCAAUCAGCUUGUGUGAACCAGAGCACUCGAACCCAGCGCAUACUGGCCACCACUGUGCAGCUAAAAGUGUCUAUUGUUGUUUUCUGUCAUGUUGUGCACAUACUGUUUUUAGUUUUGUUUUAGGGAUGUGUGCAUGCUCAUGAUUGUAUGUUUCUUUCUUUGAAGACUUGUGAACGGUUUGUUGAAUUGAUUUAGAAAUUUGCAGACGGCAGCAGUUGGAAGUGCAGGUGUUACAGGACAAGCUGUAUAUAAUGGUGGAGGGAGAGAACAUUCACAAUUACAGAUUGUUGUAACAAAACCCUGCUAGUAAGAAAUAUAUGACCUUAGUUAUUUGCAAGAACACAUUGGCUUGAUGCACACCAGAUCCGUAUUAUAUGUAUAGUGCACGUUAAUUUAACUAACAUGUACAUUUCUUACUCCCCAGCUAAAGCAUGUCUUGCGUUUGUGUUUAGAAGCACCGCGGAUCCUCCAGCAGAGCUCACUCGCGGUGGAUGACGACGUGGGCAGCCUGCCUAUCCAAGACAGGCUUCAGGGACCAGACCUUCACUCACGGCCCAACACCACACAUACCUUCAGGUCGGACACUCCUUAUCGACGAUCAUUUACUGUCCUCGAUAACAUAAACGAGACCC